GCAAAAAAGAGUAGAUAUGGAACUAAUUUUUUUUUUGCUCUUACAACACUGUUUAAUAUGUCAGUUGUUAGUAUCUAUGUUGUCAACAGUGUUGGUUUAUUUUCGUAUUUAUUGUAUUGUUUAAAUUUAUCGUCAGUAAACUGUUGUUAUUGUGGCAAAUGAUGAACAGGACGAUCCGAAGUGGCACCCGCCAGGUUAUUUAUAACGUUUACAGGCGGUGUCUGGCAGAAUUUGAAGCCAAAACCUUGUUGUCGGAACUGGACAAUGUUUACCAAAGAACGGCUGAGAUGACAGGUAAACUACUGUAAGGAGAAUUGUAUUAGAAGAUGACCUUAACAAUGCUGUGUUUGCAACGCCUGGAAAACGCCGGAAGGGGCGUCCAAAAAAGGAACUGGACAAUUUCGACCUGUGUGCCAUUAGGCAAAAGGUUCAAUUUUUUGAUGGGCUUUGAUGGUAGCCGGGGAACACCUGAGAAUACUACUUCAUGCUCUUCUGUUCAAUCUUGCUGCAUCACGAUAACGCCUCUUCACAUAAGUCCCUCAGAACAAAGGCGUUUAUUGAGAAAGCUGGGAUAGAAACCUUACCACUUCCACCCUACAGUCCUGACUUAGCUCCCUGCGAUUUCUUUUUGUAUCCGGUGGUGAAAGAAAAAAUAACGGAAGUUUUUUUCAAGUGCUGAAAAAGCCGUGGCUAUAUGAAGAAGCAAUUUCGGACCUAUCUGAUGAAGACUGGCAAAAGUGCUUCCAAAGUUGGUUCAGACGAAUGGAAAUUUGUAUAGAGAGUAAUGGAGAGUAUUUUGAAAAAAUGUAAAAUAAAUAAUACUAAUAUCUUCAA